UGGCUCAGAUUAGAACGCUGGCGGCAUGCUUUACACAUGCAAGUCGAACGGUAUCAGGUCUUCGGGAUGUUAGCGGCGGACGGGUGAGUAACGCGUGGGAACGUGCCCUUUGCUACGGAAUAGCCUCGGGAAACUGAGAGUAAUACCGUAUGUGCCCUUCGAGGGAAAGAUUUAUCGGCAAAGGAUCGGCCCGCGUUGGAUUAGGUAGUUGGUAGGGUAAUGGCCUACCAAGCCGACGAUCCAUAGCUGGUUUGAGAGGAUGAUCAGCCACACUGGGACUGAGACACGGCCCAGACUCCUACGGGAGGCAGCAGGUGGGGAAUCUUAGACAAGUGGGGGAAACCCUGAUCUAGCCAUGCCGCGUGAGCGAUGAAGGCCUUAGGGUUGUAAAGCUCUUUCAGUGGGGAAGAUAAUGACGGUACCCACAGAAGAAGCCCCGGCUAACUCCGUG
rnacentral:rRNA from 1 species